rnacentral:lncRNA from 1 species
AGAGACAGUAGGGUGAACAGAGGCUGAGAGGCCUGUCUGUUCCAGACUAACACACACGUGGGGAUUCAUUUUGCCUGGGCCAGCGUGGAGACACAACAGGUUGUACAAAGAGCGCUGAGGCUGACAGCCCUGGGCGAUCUCUGUGCUGGCUGCAGGUGGGACAUCCCUCCUCACUUUUGAAGUUCCAGCAGUGUACGCGGCAGGCUCAGCUAUGGUUGGUGGACAUUUCUUUUGAGACCCAGAUUGAGACUUUGAGCUCAGCCGGAUCAUGGUGGCAUACCCAGGCUGUUCCAGCCCCCGGUGGCUUCCAGUCCUUCUCAAGCUCUGCGAGAAAGCCAGACCCGAGAAAGCCAGACCUUGGUUUCUUCCGGCUGUAGUGAGGGGACCAGCAUGGCCCUCAGGAUCCCAGGUACCCAAGGAAAGGAUGGCCGGGCUGACCAGGAAGCAGCACAAGGCAUAUUCUCAGACUUGAAGUAGCUGCCUGCUGAUAAAGGAGAUUAAGUCUUCCUCCCAGUCCCAGUGAAGUCGCACUCUCAUUUCGUAUUCAGCUUCAGAAUCACCAGUUGUAGAAGACUUUGCUCCAUCUUCUUUGCCAAGUCUUUGCUGUUGAAAGGUACUGCUUACAAUACCAUCAACUACAUCUCAAUGUAUGUUUGAUUAUACCAUAUAUCUUUCCUCUUUGUAUUACAAACAGGCUCCAUAUGUAAUAGAUAAUGAUAAAAUAAAUAAAUGAAAUGAAAUAAAAAUUUUAAAAAAAUAAA